GAUAUCUUGUUAUUGUUUUGUUAUUUUUAGAAAUACAAAACCAAACCAACUUACUGAGUCUUAGUGGAAAAACACUGUGUGUGACUGCAGGAUCAGCUCCCUGUCUGAUUGAUGGUCCUAGUACUCUUCUCUGUCAGUAUAUCAAUCUACAGCUCCUGAACACAAACCCACAAGAGGGUUUAAUGGGAACAGUGGGCACUCUCCUCCUUGAAAACCCACUUGGACAGAAUGGACUCACCCACCAAGGUCUUCGGAAUGAAGCAGCCAAGCUGUUUGGCCUUCGCAGCAGAAAACUAAAGCUGUUUCUGAAUGAAACUCAGAUGGAUGAAAUUACAGAAGAAAUCCCCAUGAAGACUUUGAACACGAAGACUGUGUAUGUUUCUAUAUUACCGACAACAGCUGACUUCUAACAUUCAGUUAUCAGUGUGGUCAGUCAGCCUUUUCCUGGCAUGUACCUGUCCCUACACACACACACACACACACACACCCAGUGAAGAUAUUUCCUUCAGGUGCAUGUACAAGUGUAAUAUGCCAGUUUUGGUCUGAAUAUGAAAUGGGAUUGAUUCAACAAGUGGCUUGAGACCUCACAGUAAUAUUCACACUUAACCUAAACUCCUAUGCAGUCAUGUUUGAUGGAGGUUACAACGUCACCUCAGUACUACAGAGUUCAUUUCUAUACUUGAAUUCUUAAGUAUAGAAAUAUAGAAGGUAGAAGUGAUUAAAUGGCAUGCUAUAUAUAAUUCUAUGGUGUUUUAAAACUUAAAUUUGAGACCUCUUGAAGGAAUGGACACUGUUAUAUAUAUUUCUGCUACCUGGAUUUUCCUGGGUAAUUUGAUGGAAUGGUUUGCUUCAGUAAAUCAAAACAAUAAACAUGCUUUCUCUCAGACAAUAAAUGUGUUAAAAGUA